rnacentral:rRNA from 1 species
UACGUAGGGUGCAAGCGUUGUCCGGAAUUAUUGGGCGUAAAGAGCUCGUAGGCGGUUUGUUGCGUCGGCUGUGAAAUCCCGAGGCUCAACCUCGGGUCUGCAGUCGAUACGAGCAAACUAGAGUGUUGCAGGGGGAGACUGGAAUUCCUGGUGUAGCGGUGAAAUGCGCAGAUAUCAGGAGGAACACCGGUGGCGAAGGCGGGGUCUCUGGGCAGCAACUGACGCUGGAGGAGCGAAAGCGUGGGGAGCGAACAGG